GCCAGGCCGGGCCAAGGACCCUGGCCGUCAUGGCCUUGGCCCUGAGCCCGCCCCGGGUCCCCAAGCCCAAGAGUGCCCUGCCCUUGCACUACUACGAGAGUUUCCUGGAGAAGAAGGGACCCCGAGAUCAGGAUUACAAGAAGUUCUGGGCAGGCCUUCAGGGGCUGACUCUCUAUUUCUACAACAGCAAUCGAGACACUAAGCAUGUGGAGAAGCUAGAUCUAGGAGGCUUUGUGAAGCUCACAGAUGAAGCUCCCUGGGGAAACUCCCAUGACCCUAGCACCCACUUCUGCUUGGUCCUUCGGAACCAGGAGAUCAAGUUCAAGGUAGAGAGCCUGGAGUCUCGGGAGAUGUGGAAAGGCUUCAUCUUGACAGUAGUGGAGCUCCGCGUCCCGUCCAACCUGACGCUGCUGCCAGGACACCUAUACAUGAUGUCCGAGGCCCUGGCCAAAGAGGAGGCCCGUCGUGCGCUCGAGAUGCCGUCGUGCUUCCUGAAAGUGAGCCGACUGGAGGCGCAACUGCUCCUGGAGCGCUACCCUGAGUGCGGGAACCUACUGCUGCGGCCCAGCGGGGACGGCACAGGCGGCGUGUCAGUCACAACGCUUCAGACGCUCAAUGGGACGCCGGUGGUCAGGCACUACAAGGUGAAGCGCGAGGGCGCCAAGUACGUAAUCGACGUGGAGGAGCCGUUCUCCUGCACCUCGCUCGAAGCAGUGGUCAACUAUUUCGUGUCGCACACUAAUAAGGCGCUGGUGCCCUUCCUGCUGGAUGAAGACUAUGAGAAAGUGAUAGGCUUCGUGGAGGCGGAUAAAGAGAAUGGCGAGAGUGUGUGGGUGGCGCCCUCGGCCCCCUCCACCUCCGGCCCAGGUCCUGCACCCCCCAAGGAUGGCCCUAAGCAGCUGCCUCCCACGUCCAUCAUGCCUGAGCCCAGUCAGGACAAGCUGCCUCCACUACCAGACCAGGAUAACAACUAUGUCAUCCCCAUUGGAGACAUCCCAUCUGCCAGCUAUGUGAACGAGGAUGUGCCAUCCCCCAGUCGACCAGUUGUUCCGAAGCCCAGGCGGUUGGCCAAGCUACAGGCAAAGCUUCCAAAGCCACCUAUUGUGUCCAAGUCAGAGCCCAAAGGCCUCAACAGUGGCCCAGCCAGGAAGCUGGCAGCCAGCUCAGCACAGGCUUUCUCGCUCACCACAGGGACCCAGAGAAGGGACGUGGGAGCCACUGUGCCAAAAAGCUUGGGCACUAGCCAAGAGCAGGCCCUGGGUGGAGCUCUGGCCCUACAGCCCUCAGGAGCAGCAGGCAUCGGGCACAUUGAGCCCGCCCAUUUCACAGGAGAGGAAACUGAGGCUCUGAGAGAACUUCUCAGGAAGCACAGACCCUGAGCCCCAGCCAGGUCUGCCUGAGUGCAAAGGCUUCAACCAGCUCCGGCCCUUCAGCGUGGCCCGUAGACCUGGCUCCACGACUACUCAAACUUCGCAUUUACUGAAAAGCCAAAGUCUUUUGCCUAAGCGGAUGUUCAGCUUCCAAUGCUGCCUUUCUCUCCCCACAUCACAGCUGAACACCUGUGCAUCCCACAGAGCCCCAGGCUCUCACAUCUCCUCCAGAAGCCCUGCCCAGAAUCCAUAGGGCUAGGAGGAGGCUGUGGUUGAGAACGUGACUGCCAAUGCAAGGGAUAUGGAUUCGAUCCCUGGUCAGGGAAGAUUCCACAUGCAACUAAGCCCACGGUCCACAACUACUGAGCCCACGGUCCACAACUACUGAGCCCACGGUCCACAACUACCGAAGCCCACGAACCUAGAGCCCGUGCUCCCCAACAGGAGAAGCCCACAUGCAGCCAUGA